rnacentral:rRNA from 1 species
UACCAGCACCCCGAGUGGUCGGGACGUUUUAUUGGGCCUAAAGCAUCCGUAGCCGGUUCUACAAGUCUUCCGUUAAAUCCAGCUGCUUAACAGAUGGGCUGCGGAAGAUACUAUGGAGCUAGGAGGCGGGAGAGGCAAGCGGUACUCGAUGGGUAGGGGUAAAAUCCGUUGAUCCAUUGAAGACCACCAGUGGCGAAGGCGGCUUGCCAGAACGCGCUCGGACGGUGAGGGAUGAAAGCAUGGGGGAGCAACCGG